ACCACCGCGACCCACUCCAGAACCGCUGCCCUCCUCCACCGUUCAGGGAAGUUUAUUUCUUCAUUUUUGUGUUGUUCCAAUCAGGACUUGAUUUUUUGCUAAAUUAGGGCUCAAAUCUAGAAAGAGGCUUCCCCAAAUUGAUCUAUAAAAGGAUUUGAACAUAUUGACGCUAUUAAGUCCAGAUAACUAUUUUCCCUUAUUUCAACAUAGAAAACAGGGUCAGAUUUGGAGAUUUAUCUUCUGCGGAAUUGAUCAGAUAUAUUCUUUUGCAUCUUGUUUGCCUCAUAUUCCCCCCUUAUAAACAUUUUGCCUUCGUUACUUAUUGUUGGCUGGAGAUGAAUAAAUCAAUGACAACUUUCAGAGCAUGUUUUCGUACUAUUUUGACUUCCAUUUCCAUAUAUUUUCCUUUUGUCUACUCAGAGAAUGUAUUGCCAGGAAUUCUGCUGAGCUUUUAUUCAAUAACACAACGAUGUAUUGUAUUGUAUUGCUUUUACUCAAUAUCUUUCUUUUGAAUCUUUGUCAAGGAGAAACUGAACACAAGACAAAAGAAGAUAAUAAUCAGUAUUAGUUCGAGAUAAUUGCCAAGGAGAUUAAGGUACCGAUUCAGCAGAGGAAUUGGGAAAUUUGUGCAUCAGUCCACCCCCACAGUAAACAAUGACGCACAAUCCUAUUGAACCUGCACAAAUUGUGUUACUGAUAGAGGAGAUAAUGCAUGUGUAUUUGAUGGAACUCAUAUGUGUAAUGAAUCUUCUAACUAGGAUGGACAAAAGAAAGAGGAAGCGUACUGAUGAAGUUGAGACAUAUUCUAUGAUUCAAAGAAUCCCUGACCAAGUUAAGCACUUGAAUAGAAUGGUAGGAGUUACUGAUAUUGAUUGCAUUGAAAAUCUUCGCAUGGAUCGUAACACUUUCGGUAGAUUAUGUCUUUUAUUACGACAAUUAGGGGGUUUGAUCAAUAGUUUUGUAGACUCAAGAGCUUGCGGGGCGCAGGAAAGAGAAUGUUACCAUACAAUGGGAGUGCUUCGUGUCAAUUUAGGAUGCUUCGUAUCCUUACAUGCUCCUCAUCAAUUUCUUUGACAUCUCUAAAUUCUCUGUAGUUGAUCAUUUUAUGGUGAAAGACAUCUUAGUGUAAUCAAAUCUGCUAAGUUACAACUUUAGAGUCAUAUGUAGAAAAUGAUCUCAUAUUAUCAUAAUCUCUUAUGGGCAUCUCUGAAUUAGAACUGCAUUUUUCUGUUUUUUGUAUUUUGUUUUCUUGGGGUGUAAUUUUCAUUUCACUGGAUGGUAUAGGUGCUAAACCGGAUUGCUGGACUGGACAGGAAAUCAUGAUUUCCUAAUAGUUUUGAAUAAGUGAAUUUGGGCAUUCUUGAGGUGAACUCGCUCGUGUUGGUACAGGUUCAUUAUUGUGAUUGAGUUUAUCAUCUUGGCGGAUCAAGUAGAUGGGAGUCGAUGAGCUAUGAGGACUACUACAAACGAGAAGGCUGAAGCAGAGAACGUCGUUUCAAAUGUCUAGCAAGUUGCGUGCAUUUGUAAUAUUUUUUAAUUAAACAUCUAGCUAAAUAGAAUAUAUGUGAAGUUUUCAUUAUAUUUGGAUGAUAAUGUAUGAAUAUUUUGGAUGAUAUAUAAUAUUGUUAUUGUUGAUUUUA